AUGCAGAGACAGGCAACAAAAUUAAUGCAUCAUGGUAAUUCUCAAGUUCUUUGUGAGAUUGCCAGAAAUAGAUCAAUGAAUUUCAUUUUUGAAUAACUUCUUUGCCAAAGGAUGUGAUCUAUCACCUGAGUACUCAGAACUGUCAUGCUCAGCCAUGUGUGAACAUAGAACGUGUAAUGUACAAUCAGACUCCCAAUAUGCAAAUAGGUCUGAAUGUAUUUAAAAAUUUAUUUUCGGCAUUCAUUCCAUAUAGAGAAUGUACCAGCUGUAUCAGUGAUAUUGAUAUCGUCAUGAUAUGAUCCUUUCUUUAGGUAUAUGCUAAGUCGGACUUGUAUGGGCGUGUAGCUGGAAAUAUCUAAUGCAAUAUAGGACAGGGACUAACCCAAGAGGCUCUGCCGGGCAAAUUGUGCUGAGUCUGUUGUUUACUUGACUCAGCUUGUUAACUUGUAACUUGAUAUUGUACAACUCUGCACCUUGUUGUCCUAAAGUUUUUUUCCUGGACGGUUUCAAGGUGAUUUGCAUUUUAUUUGUGUCCUUUGAAUGAUGUUUUUCCUGGUCGAUAUGCGCAUUGUUUGUCCCAAAAGUAUUCUGUGUGUCUGUUACGGAGGUUAAGCAUAUGUUUGUAAAACCGAGCAACAUUUAUAGCAACACUAGGUGCCCUAGAUCUAUACCAAGGUCAAUGCAUUUUGUAUGUUAUUUACCUAAUAUAUAAUUAAAAAUAAAAUUUAAGUGUUUUGUUUUGAUUGCUACUCUGAACGUGACCAGAAAUGUGACUUAAAUGUAAAUGACAAGGAAUGCGUUAGUUUGCAUUAUUGCCACUUGGUGCGUGAGAGAGCCACACGUGACUGACAUAGAAGCUUCGAGACUAAAAUAUCACCGGUCCUGUUUGCAACAAAGUUCAAAGUUCAGAUAUUAGGGGAGGAGCACUACCCCCACCUGUUUUGAUUGGUCGAAGGGUAUUCUAUUGAUGAGUUGUAAAGCUGUUUUAAUCUUGGUUGACCUAGAUAAAAGCUAUUUGUUCUGGAAAAUUCCCU
rnacentral:sRNA from 1 species